AAGUCGUAACAAGGUCUCCGUAGGUGAACCUGCGGAGGGAUCAUUAUUGAAUGGUCUUUGACCUUCUACCCCUCAAACCUGUGGAAGCAAAAAAUGUGCUUCGGCGUCCUCCUUUGGGCGCCGCUUUUAUGCAUAAAUCUGUGUGUCGUCUGAAUCAUACACAAGAAUCAAAACUUUCAACAACGGAUCUCUUGGUUCUGGCAUCGAUGAAGAACGCAGCGAAAUGCGAUAAGUAAUGUGAAUUGCAGAAUUCAGUGAAUCAUCGAAUCUUUGAACGCACAUUGCACCCUUGAGUAUUCUCAGGGGUAUGCCUGUUCGAGCGUCAUUGCAACCCUCAAGCACUGCUUGGUAUUGGAUGCCAUCAACUGUGGUGCAUCUCAAAAGUAUUAGUGGCAGCGUUCAGCUUCUAGUGUAGUAAUUUCUCGCUCUGGAGUUUUGAGUGCCUGUCUGCUAGAACCCCUAAUUUUUAAAAGGUUGACCUCGGAUCAGGUAGGGAUACCCGCUGAACUUAA
rnacentral:rRNA from 1 species